GCUUUAUGAUGAUCACCGAAGAAUUUGCAAUGCUGACAGUCACCAAUCACAUGUGAGAUUGUAUGUUGACUCCUCUACACUUGAUCUGAUC
rfam:Penicillium expansum strain MD-8 contig357, whole genome shotgun sequence.